rnacentral:rRNA from 1 species
UACGUAGGGUGCAAGCGUUGUCCGGAAUUAUUGGGCGUAAAGAGCUCGUAGGCGGUCUGUUGCGUCGGCUGUGAAAACCCGAGGCUCAACCUCGGGCCUGCAGCCGAUACGGGCAGACUAGAGUUCGGCAGGGGAGACUGGAAUUCCUGGUGUAGCGGUGAAAUGCGCAGAUAUCAGGAGGAACACCGGUGGCGAAGGCGGGUCUCUGGGCCGAUA